GAUGAACGCUGGCGGCGUGCCUAAUACAUGCAAGUCGAGCGAACAGACGAGGAGCUUGCUCCUCUGACGUUAGCGGCGGACGGGUGAGUAACACGUGGAUAACCUACCUAUAAGACUGGGAUAACUUCGGGAAACCGGAGCUAAUACCGGAUAAUAUAUUGAACCGCAUGGUUCAAUAGUGAAAGACGGUUUUGCUGUCACUUAUAGAUGGAUCCGCGCCGCAUUAGCUAGUUGGUAAGGUAACGGCUUACCAAGGCAACGAUGCGUAGCCGACCUGAGAGGGUGAUCGGCCACACUGGAACUGAGACACGGUCCAGACUCCUACGGGAGGCAGCAGUAGGGAAUCUUCCGCAAUGGGAGAAAGCCUGACGGCGCAACGCCGCGUGAGUGAUGAAGGUCUUCGGAUCGUAAAACUCUGUUAUUAGGGAAGAACAAAUGUGUAAGUAACUAUGCACGUAUUGACGGUACCUAAUCAGAAAGCCACGGCUAACUACGUG
rnacentral:rRNA from 1 species